rnacentral:rRNA from 1 species
GACGAACCGUGCGAACGUUAUUCGGAAUUAUUGGGCUUAAAGGGCGCGUAGGCGGCGGCUUAAGUGGGAGGGUAAAUCCUGGCGGCUCAACCGCGGGUGUCCCUCCCAUACUGGGUCGCUCUGAGGCAGGUAGGGGCCGGCGGAACUUCCGGUGGAGCGGUGAAAUGUGUUGAGAUCGGAAGGAACGCCUGUGGCGAAAGCGGCCGGCUGGACCUGUUCCUGACGCUGAGGCGCGAAAGCCAGGGGAGCAAACGGG